rnacentral:rRNA from 1 species
UGCCCCACUCUAGCCCAAUCUACACCCAAACGCCUAAAUUAACAAACUAACCCAUUACCUUAAAUUAAAACAUUCUCCAACCUUAGUAUAGGCGAUAGAAAAGUAUCAUCGGCGCCAUAGAGAUCCGUACCGUAAGGGAAAGAUGAAAUAACAAUGAAAACUCCAAGCAAAAAACAGCAAAGAUAAACCCUUGUACCUUUUGCAUCAUGAUUUAGCAAGAACAACCAAGCAAAGCGAACUUAAGUUUGCCUUCCCGAAACCCAAGCGAGCUACUCACAAGCAGCUACAUAUGAGCGAACCCGUCUCUGUAGCAAAAGAGUGGGAUGACUUGUUAGUAGAGGUGAAAAGCCAACCGAGCUGGGUGAUAGCUGGUUGCCUGUGAAAUGAACCUAAGUUCCCCUUUGACUGCUUCCCUAUGGACACCAUAGCCACUCGCAUAGAUCAGCCAAAAGCUAUUCAAAGGAGGUACAGCUCCUUUGAAGAAGGAUACAACCUGCAAUAGCGGAUAAGACUUUUCCCCCAAAACAACUGUGGGCCUUCAAGCAGCCACCAACAAAGAGUGCGUCAAAGCUCUAACACCAAAAAAAUCCACAAAACAACACGACUCCCUCCCCACUAACAGGCUAAUCUAUCCCGAUAGAAGAAUUUAUGCUAAAAUGAGUAACUAAGGGACUCCCCCUCUCAAGCGCAAGCUUACAUUUCCCCCAUUAUUAACAGAUCCAGAUAUCUAGACUUAAACAAGACCAAGUAUCAAAUCCACCCUGUUAACCCAACCCAGGAGCGCCCCCUAGAAAGAUUAAAAUCUGUAAAAGGAACUAGGCAAACCAUAGGCCCGACUGUUUACCAAAAACAUAGCCUUCAGCAAAGCCAAGUAUUGAAGGUGAUGCCUGCCCAGUGACACAUGUUUAACGGCCGCGGUAUCCUAACCGUGCAAAGGUAGCACAAUCAAUUGUCUCAUAAAUCGGGACUUGUAUGAAUGGCUAAACGAGGUCUCAACUGUCUCUUACAGAUAAUCAGUGAAAUUGAUCUUCUCGUACAAAGGCGGGAAUAAACACAUAAGACGAGAAGACCCUGUGGAACUUAAAAACCACGACCACCCUCCAACUCAAAUCCCAACCCCAUGGGUCCACUCCUCCGGGGCACUGGUUCGUGUUUUUCGGUUGGGGCGACCUUGGAGAAAAACAAAUCCUCCAUAGACAAGACCACAUAUCUUAACCAAGAACCACCCCUCAACGUGCAAAAAGUAACCUGACCCAAUAUAUUUGAGCAAUGAACCAAGCUACCCCAGGGAUAACAGCGCAAUCUCCCUUAAGAGCCCAUAUCGACAGGGAGGUUUACGACCUCGAUGUUGGAUCAGGACAUCCUAAUGGUGCAGCCGCUAUUAAGGGUUCGUUUGUUCAACGAUUAAUAGUCCUACGUGAUCUGAGUUCAGACCGGAGCAAUCCAGGUCGGUUUCUAUCUAUGACACUACCUUCCCCAGUACGAAAGGACCGGGAAGAUGAGGCCUAUACCACAAGCAAGCCUCCCUCCCAAGUAAUGAGCUCAACUAAAUUACCGAGGAGACUCUAAACCCAUCCAUCCUAGAAAAGGAUAG